rnacentral:rRNA from 1 species
AGUGAACGCUGGCGGUAGGCCUAACACAUGCAAGUCGAACGGCAGCACAGGAGAGCUUGCUCUCUGGGUGGCGAGUGGCGGACGGGUGAGGAAUACAUCGGAAUCUACUCUGUCGUGGGGGAUAACGUAGGGAAACUUACGCUAAUACCGCAUACGACCUACGGGUGAAAGCAGGGGAUCUUCGGACCUUGCGCGAUUGAAUGAGCCGAUGUCGGAUUAGCUAGUUGGCGGGGUAAAGGCCCACCAAGGCGACGAUCCGUAGCUGGUCUGAGAGGAUGAUCAGCCAAACUGGAACUGAGACACGGUCCAGACUCCUACUGGAGGAAGCAGUGGGGAAUAUUGUACAAUGGGCGCAAGCCUGAUCCAGCCAUACCGCGUGGGUGAAGAAGGCCUUCGGGUUGUAAAGCCCUUUUGUUGGGAAAGAAAUCCAGCCGGCUAAUACCUGGUUGGGAUGACGGUACCCAAAGAAUAAGCACCGGCUAACUUCGUGCCAGCCGCCGCGGUAAUAC